GCCGUCAUAGCUCAGAUGGUAGAGCGCCUGAUUUGUAAUCAGGAUGUCCCGGGUUCGAAACCUGGUGGCGGCA
rnacentral:tRNA from 1 species